ensembl:lncRNA
ACCGGAGGGUGGCUGCUCCUCCCUCGUCUCGCUCAUCAGAGCUCCCCUAGAUCUACCAGUGUUCAUCUACGCCGUAUGUGGUUGACUACGUAUUAAUGCCUAUUUCUUUUUUUACCAAAGUCAGUUUCAUUGUAUUUGCAUUCUCAUAUGAUGUAUUUCUAUAUUUGAUUUUUUUUGUUUGUUUAUUUUAUAAAUUUUUUCGUCCUGGGCCAGCUUUAUGGGAACUUAGUUUGACCCACCUUAUGCUCAGAAACCUUACUGAUCCCAGAUGAAGCUUAAAAUGGUGCCACCGUCUGGCUUACACUCUCUACGCAGUAAGUAUUCCUCUUGGGGGGAGGUAACGAGGGAAAGCACCGCGUUCGGGCACAAUGAUAUAAGCCCCCAUGUUCAGG